CCUACGGGGGGCAGCAGUGGGGAAUAUUGGGCAAUGGGCGCAAGCCUGACCCAGCAACGCCGCGUGAAGGAAGAAGGCUUUCGGGGUGUAAACUUCUUUUCUGGGGGACGAACAAAUGACGGUACCCCAGGAAUAAGCCACGGCUAACUACGUGCCAGCAGCCGCGGUAAUAAGUAGGUGGCAAGGGUUAUCCGGAUUUAUUGGGGGUAAAGGGCGUGUAGGGGGGAAUGCAAGUCAGAUGUGAAAACUCAGGGCUCAACCCUGAGCCUGCAUUUGAAACUGUUUUUCUUGAGUACUGGAGAGGCAGACGGAAUGCCUUGUGUAGCGGUGAAAUGCGUAGAUAUAAGGAGGAACACCAGUGGCGAAGGCGGUCUGCUGGACAGCAACUGACGGUGAGGCGCGAAAGCGUGGGGAGCAAACAGGAUUAGAUACCCGUGUAGUC
rnacentral:rRNA from 1 species